rnacentral:lncRNA from 1 species
AGUCGUUGGGGAGAGACAUAUAUAUUUACCUACUGCAUAAAAAUAUGAAAGUUUGCAGUAAGGGGGAGCGUUGUAUUGCAUUCCAUAUCACAUCCAUAGCUGUUUGAGUUUUAAUGUUUAGUGAUGUUAAUGUUUCAAUUGGUGUUUUGAUUGACAUUAAUGUUACGUCUCAAACUAGCAUGUUAAUUUGUGAUUUAAUGCUUUAAUUUCUAUAUUUCCUAUAUCACGUGCUUUUACACUGGGUAUGUGAGUUUUUGAAUUUCAGGAAACAUGUACAACAAGGAAUGCAGAACUUGGUGAUUCGAAUGCUGGGUAGUUUAGGUUGUUUUGAUUGAUUGUAAUUCCUUGACUUGAAUUUGUAUAGUUUUGUCACAAAAUGCCAAAGGGAGAGAUUGUUAGGUCUAAAAUUGUAAUUGACAUUCUAUGAACAAAAAGGGACUUAAUUGAACAUGUUUAAAAGUCAAGGCUUGAUGUGCAAUAUUAUAUAGUUGUUAGGGUUUAGUUUGUGUAUGGAAAGGGAGCCAGCCAAAAAUUAUAUAUAUACCUCUACACGCCUACAGAAAGGUAGAGCCGCCUGAGAUAGAGAGACAGAUACAAGAAGCGGCUGCAGGUUGGGAAGAAUUAUCUUUUUUAUACAUUACACAUUGGUGUUGGCAUCUGUGGAAGACACAAUUAAGGAGGCUGUUGUGUGUGUGUGUGUAUAUAUAUAUAUAUAUAUAUAUAUAUAUAUAUAUAUAUAUAUAUAUAUAUAUAUAUCACAACAUAAAAUGGCAAAAGGCGUGGCUAUUGGGGGAAUUUAAAAAAAAAAAAAAAAGGGCUGCUGGUUGAGGAAUUAAAUAAUGGAGGCUGCUGAUUAAAUUAUCUUUAUCACAUGCAUGAGAGACAAAGCUGAUUUGAAGAAUUUGCAGCCGUCGAAUUGGAUAUAUAUAUUCAUGAAAAGUUGAAGCAAAUUUGGGGUUGAAUUGGACAAAUACACGGGCUGUUGGAGUCCAAAGUUGUGGCAGGUUUCUGGUAAUAUACUUAAUCAAUAUACAACCACUUGGGGUUCAUUUGAAAAGUCAACAAUUGAUGGCUAUCUUUAUUGUAUAUACACACAACAUUGUUGGCAGUAGUUCUUGAAGGAUUUUGUGGACAAGAAUUCUGGAAUUAAGAAGUUACCAGCUGCUGAAUUUUUAUACAUACACACAACAUUAUUUGCUGCAGUUUUUGAGAAAAUUAGAGAUUGCCAUAUUGCUCUUACAUUGAGAAACAUCUUGCCAUAUUCUUUCAAGAGAUCCGAGGAGUGCUUCAAGAGAUUAAUUCAUCUUCUUCGUUCUUGUGAUCCGGCAAUCUAUUGUGUGGGGAAAACAUCAAAGUUUGUGAAGACAAAACACUGUGGUUCCUUAAUCCUUUGAGGAACGGACUCUCUCAUUGGAGGAUUGAAAGAGAUGGACAAUAAGUGCAGGAACUGGACAAAAAUAGGAGGUUCUUGAAAUUCCACUUGGUGAUACAAUCGGCUAAAGACCAGGAGACUGUAUUGGAUAGCAGAUUGGGCUGCAAGAGAUAGAUCGGGAAGCUAGCAGGAGAUUAGCAGUAUCUACGGCAGUAGAUAGUGAGACUAGAACGGCGGGUCUGACUGGGUAAGGAGUUUGGCAGAACUUGUACUUGCUGGAUUGGUAUAGUGGAAACUACUGACUUGGUCCCGGAGUUUUACCCACAUUGGAGUUUCUCCGUCAUCAAACAACAGUGUUCUUUAUAUUUCUGCAAUUUACUUAUUUCCGGUAAUUCAACGUAGGAUAGUAAAGCGUGUG